rnacentral:rRNA from 1 species
GACGAACGCUGGCGGCGUGCUUAACACAUGCAAGUCGAACGAAAAGAGGGAAAGAGCUUGCUCUUUCCGGAAUUGAGUGGCAAACGGGUGAGUAACACGUAAACAACCUGCCUUCAGGAUGGGGACAACAGACGGAAACGACUGCUAAUACCGAAUAAGUUCCAAGGGCCGCAUGGCCCAUGGAAGAAAAGGUGGCCUCUACCUGUAAGCUAUCGCCUGAAGAGGGGUUUGCGUCUGAUUAGCUGGUUGGAGGGGUAACGGCCCACCAAGGCGACGAUCAGUAUCCGGUCUGAGAGGAUGAACGGCCAAACUGGAACUGAGACAAGGUCCAGACUCCUACGGGAGGCAGCAGUGGGGAAUCUUCCGCAAUGGGCGAAAGCCUGACGGAGCAACGCCGCGUGAGUGAUGACGGCCUUCGGGUUGUAAAACUCUGUGAUCCGGGACGAAAAGGCAGAGUGCGAAGAACAAACUGCAUUGACGGUACCGGAAAAGCAAGCCACGGCUAACUACGUG